AUUGAACGCUGGCGGCAGGCCUAACACAUGCAAGUCGGACGGUAGCACAGAGAGCUUGCUCUUGGGUGACGAGUGGCGGACGGGUGAGUAAUGUCUGGGGAUCUGCCCGAUAGAGGGGGAUAACCACUGGAAACGGUGGCUAAUACCGCAUAACGUCGCAAGACCAAAGAGGGGGACCUUCGGGCCUCUCACUAUCGGAUGAACCCAGAUGGGAUUAGCUAGUAGGCGGGGUAAUGGCCCACCUAGGCGACGAUCCCUAGCUGGUCUGAGAGGAUGACCAGCCACACUGGAACUGAGACACGGUCCAGACUCCUACGGGAGGCAGCAGUGGGGAAUAUUGCACAAUGGGCGCAAGCCUGAUGCAGCCAUGCCGCGUGUAUGAAGAAGGCCUUCGGGUUGUAAAGUACUUUCAGCGGGGAGGAAGGCGGUGAGGUUAAUAACCUCGCCGAUUGACGUUACCGCAGAAGAAGCA
rnacentral:rRNA from 1 species